AUGAGGGCGUUCAUAAGUAAGCGAGAUGGCAAUGUAGUCAACCCAGCAGUCGGCACUUCGUUUGAUUCACUGGAUGAGGCGUAUCAAUUCUAUAAUUUAUAUUCGUGGGAGGUUGGAUUUGGCAUAAGGUAUUCGAAAAGCAGGCUGAAUGUGGAGAGGGUCAAGUGCAUGCAGGAGAUUGUAUGCGGAUGCGCGGGUAAACCGGAGAGGGAGAAUACAAGAUCAACUAGGUGCGGCUGUGCUGCCAGGAUCAGGCUGCUGAGGUCGGAUGACAAUGGAUGGUAUAUUUCAGAGCACAGGCCGCUUCACAACCACUCGCUGUCAAGUACUUGGCGAGAAAAUGCACUGGCCUUCACACAGGCUCAUUGA
rnacentral:rRNA from 1 species